UGGGAACUUGGGAAUACAGACACAAGGAGGAUGUGGGACAUGGGAACAUGGAGGGGACAGGAACAUGGGGACACAGGGAUAAAGGGACAUGAGGACACUGGGACAUGGGGACACUGGGACACAGGGAUGUGGGAACACGGUGCAGGAACAUAGGGACACAGGGACAUGGGAAGUACAGGACACAGGGAUUUGGGGACACAGGGAUGUGGGACAUGAGGACAUGGGAGGUACAGGGACAAUGGGGUAUGGGGACAUGGGGACCAAGGGAUGGCCCCAGGAAAUGGGAUUGUGUCCUUCCAACUGCCUCCAGCUCCUGGAGGAUGAGGGAAGGGAAGGAGAAAUGGUGGGGAGAUACUGGGAGAACAGUAGGAAAUAUUUAGGGAAUAUUUGAGGAAUAUUUGGGGAAUAUUUUAGGAAUAUUUGGGGAAUAAGUGGAAAUAUUUGGGGAAUAUUUAAGGAAUAUUUGGGGAAUAUUUGGGGAAUAAUAUAACAAUGGCUUGGGCAGUAUCUGGAAGUAACGGAAUAUUUGAGGAAUAAUAGAAAAAUAGCUUGGGGAAUGUUUGGAAAAUAAAGCAGAUAUUUGGGGAACA
rnacentral:lncRNA from 1 species